rnacentral:rRNA from 1 species
GAUGAACGCUGGCGGCGUGCCUAAUACAUGCAAGUCGAGCGAACAGAUGAGGAGCUUGCUCCUCUGACGUUAGCGGCGGACGGGUGAGUAACACGUGGAUAACCUACCUAUAAGACUGGGAUAACUACGGGAAACCGGAGCUAAUACCGGAUAAUAUAUUGAACCGCAUGGUUCAAUAGUGAAAGACGGUUUUGCUGUCACUUAUAGAUGGAUCCGCGCCGCAUUAGCUAGUUGGUAAGGUAACGGCUUACCAAGGCAACGAUGCGUAGCCGACCUGAGAGGGUGAUCGGCCACACUGGAACUGAGACACGGUCCAGACUCCUACGGGAGGCAGCAGUAGGGAAUCUUCCGCAAUGGGCGAAAGCUUGACGGAGCAACGCCGCGUGAGUGAUGAAGGUCUUCGGAUCGUAAAACUCUGUUAUUAGGGAAGAACAAAUGUGUAAGUAACUAUGCACGUCUUGACGGUACCUAAUGAGAAAGCCACGGCUAACUACGUG